UACGUAGGGUGCAAGCGUUGUCCGGAAUUAUUGGGCGUAAAGAGCGUGUAGGCGGCCCCAUUAGUCCGCUGUGAAAGUCGGGGGCUCAACCCUCGAAUGCCGGUGGAUACUGUCGGGCUAGAGUGCGGAAGAGGCGAGUGGAAUUCCUGGUGUAGCGGUGAAAUGCGCGGAUAUCGGGAAGAACACCCGUGGCGAAGGCGGCACUCUGGGACGGUACUGACGCUGAGACGCGAAAGCGUGGGGAGCGAACAGG
rnacentral:rRNA from 1 species